rnacentral:rRNA from 1 species
GAUGAACGCUAGCUACAGGCUUAACACAUGCAAGUCGAGGGGAAACGACAUCGAAAGCUUGCUUUUGAUGGGCGUCGACCGGCGCACGGGUGAGUAACGCGUAUCCAACCUGCCCAUCACUUGGGAAUAACCUUGCGAAAGUAAGACUAAUACCCAAUGAUAUCCCACGAAGGCAUCGGAAUGGGAUUAAAGAUUUAUCGGUGAUGGAUGGGGAUGCGUCUGAUUAGCUUGUUGGCGGGGUAACGGCCCACCAAGGCAACGAUCAGUAGGGGUUCUGAGAGGAACGUCCCCCACAUUGGACCUGAGACACGGUCCAAACUCCUACGGGAGGCAGCAGUGAGGAAUAUUGGUCAAUGGGCGAGAGCCUGAACCAGCCAAGUAGCGUGCAGGAAGACGGCCCUAUGGGUUGUAAACUGCUUUUAUAAGGGAAUAAAGUGGGUCACGUGUGACUUUUUGCAUGUACCUUAUGAAUAAGGACCGGCUAAUUCCGUG